rnacentral:rRNA from 1 species
UGGGGGAUAUUGCGCAAUGGGGGCAACCCUGACGCAGCAACGCCGCGUGAAGGAUGAAGGUUUUCGGAUUGUAAACUUCUUUUAUUAAGGACGAAACUUGACGGUACUUAAUGAAUAAGCUCCGGCUAACUACGUGCCAGCAGCCGCGGUAAUACGUAGGGAGCAAGCGUUGUCCGGAUUUACUGGGUGUAAAGGGUGCGUAGGCGGCUUUGCAAGUCAGAUGUGAAAUCUAUGGGCUCAACCCAUAAACUGCAUUUGAAACUGUAGAGCUUGAGUGAAGUAGAGGCAGGCGGAAUUCCCCGUGUAGCGGUGAAAUGCGUAGAGAUGGGGAGGAACACCAGUGGCGAAGGCGGCCUGCUGGGCUUUAACUGACGCUGAGGCACGAAAGCGUGGGUAGCAAACAGGAUUAGAUACCCUGGUAGUCCACGCUGUAAACGAUGAUUACUAGGUGUGGGGGGUCUGACCCCUUCCGUGCCGGAGUUAACACAAUAAGUAAUCCACCUGGGGAGUACGGCCGCAAGGUUGAAACUCAAAGGAAUUGACGGGGGCCCGCACAAGCAGUGGAGUAUGUGGUUUAAUUCGAAGCAACGCGAAGAACCUUACCAGGUCUUGACAUCCAACUAACGAAGUAGAGAUACAUUAGGUGCCCUUCGGGGAAAGUUGAGACAGGUGGUGCAUGGUUGUCGUCAGCUCGUGUCGUGAGAUGUUGGGUUAAGUCCCGCAACGAGCGCAACCCUUGCUAUUAGUUGCUACGCAAGAGCACUCUAAUCAGACUGCCGUUGACAAAACGGAGGAAGGUGGGGACGACGUCAAAUCAUCAUGCCCUUUAUGACCUGGGCUACACACGUACUACAAUGGUCGUUAACAGAGGGAAGCAAUACCGCGAGGUGGAGCAAAACCCUAAAAACGGUCUCAGUUCAGAUUGUAGGCUGCAACUCGCCUACAUGAAGUUGGAAUUGCUAGUAAUCGCGGAUCAGCAUGCCGCGGUGAAUACGUUCCC